rnacentral:rRNA from 1 species
AUCGAACGCUGGCGGCAGGCCUAACACAUGCAAGUCGAGCGGAGCGGCGGACGGGUGAGUAAUGCCUAGGAAUCUGCCUGGUAGUGGGGGAUAACGUCCGGAAACGGGCGCUAAUACCGCAUCCUAUCAGAUGAGCCUAGGUCGGAUUAGCUAGUUGGUGGGGUAAAGGCCUACCAAGGCGGCGAUCCGUAACUGGUCUGAGAGGAGUAUCAGUCACACUGGAACGGAGAAACGGUCAAGACUCCUACGGGGGGCAGCAGUGGGGAAUAUUGGACAAUGGGCGAAAGCCUGAUCCAGCCAUGCCGCGGGUGGGAAGAAGGUCUUCGGAGGGUAAAGCACGUUAAGUUGGGAGGCGUUACCAACAGAAUAAGCACCGGCUAACGUCGUGCCAGCCGCCGCGGUAAUAC